GCUGCCAAGACGGCACCACGAACAUGCCUGCGGACA
rnacentral:tRNA from 1 species